ACGGGUGAGUAACACGUAUCCAACCUGCCGUCUACUCUUGGCCAGCCUUCUGAAAGGAAGAUUAAUCCAGGAUGGCAUCAUGAGUUCACAUGUCCGCAUGAUUAAAGGUAUUUUCCGGUAGACGAUGGGGAUGCGUUCCAUUAGCUAGUUGGCGGGGUUACGGCCCACCAAGGCAACGAUGGAUAGGGGUUCUGAGAGGAAGGUCCCCCACACUGGUACUGAGACACGGACCAG
rnacentral:rRNA from 1 species